UCACUCCAACCCAUUCUCUGGUAGAAGCAGUUGAAGCAGUCAGCAGAGCAAGAGAGCAGAGGCGGUGAGCGCAGCGACUAGAGAUGCAGAGGAGGCGGAGGCGCGGCGAUGGCAGAUGCGGAGGCGGGCGCGGCGAGGACAGAGACGGCGAGGUGGAGGUGGAGGCAGCCGACAGCGAGGCGGAGGCGGCGACUGGCGAGUUUUCGAACACAGUGCUGGUGAACAUAAAAUGUUUGAUUAUAUUUGAUUUCGUACAUAAAAUGUUUGGAAUUGAAUUGGUGAACAUACACAGUGUUGGUGUGCUGGCUUUCCAAUUUCUAAACUUUGGCAGGGAGGAAAGAAGAAAUGGAAAGAGGAUGAAGAAAACAAAGGGCAAAAUGGUCUUGCCAAAUUAACUUUUGUUCCCAACAGCAAAGGAAAAUAAAAUCCGAGGGUCUACCUCGGAUUUUGUUUUCCUGUAAAAUGAGGAAGUGCUUUUCCAUUGGAAUAUGAGUUCCAAUCAACCAAACAUGAGAAGAGAGUAAUUUCUUUGAGUUUUAGGAACUCACUUCCCAUGGAAAAAGAGUUCCUACCAACCAAACAUGCCCUUAUACAAAUCUUACUUUUGAGACAACCAAGUUCACAACGAACCAAGAAGUUCAGACACGUGUGGCAGCUAAAGUUGGUGAUAGCUCCAUGACUGCACUUCACAAACUUAUGGAACAACGCAACCAAUUUGAGUGCCACGUAUGUUUGCAAAAAUCUCGUCUUCCACUCGCGCAUGAAGCGUCUGGCAUUGGACUACUUCUUUGUUCGGGAUUUGGUUGCUAAUGGUACGCUGGUUGUGCAACAUAUUCACUCAAUUGCUCAGCUGACGGAUCUUCUUACCAAACCGCUUGGUCGUCACCUUUUUCUCCACUUCCGGUCCAAGAUUAUCUUGUGAGGGCGUGUUAAGCCUAUAUAUGGCUUCCUUAUAGUUUGUUAGCUCUAUUUCUAUUCCUGGAGACUAGCUUAGUUGUAACUUCUCACUUUUCGUUCUCCUUUGUACACUAUUUAUAAUGGGUUAACCUUUCAGUAUUGAAUAUAACUUACAAUCAGUUUAUACUCUAA